rfam:Eubacterium sp. 68-3-10 unitig_0:quiver, whole genome shotgun sequence.
GUGGGUAUAGUCAAGUGGUUAAGACAUAGGAUUGUGAUUCCUACAUGCGUGGGUUCGAUCCCCACUACCCACC